rnacentral:lncRNA from 1 species
UUUUGUAUUAAAAAAAAAGAUUCAUUCUGAAGAAGACAUCAUUAAUCACCUGUAGAAAGGAUUAAAAACAAAAAGCUAGCUGUUUCAGAAGAUGGCAAAGGAAAAGAAGGGGUGUAAGUCUCUAAACAUAGACACGUGCCAAUAAGCUCAUAUUCUGAGCCAAUUACUUCCCAUGAAAUGAGCAGCCACACGUCCCCCUGUCCAAGACUUCCUUGUAUCCCCCCCAAAUAGUGAACUGUGUUGUGAGGGACUUCAAUACUCUCAUAGAUUAAACACAGGAUAAAGACACAGACUAUAAAAAUUUAGGGGUGGGGGGGGG